rnacentral:ncRNA from 1 species
ACUUGAUAAAGGCAAAGUCAUCGAAAGGUGGCGGCGCAAAGCUACAGGGGCUAAGGCGGUUCAUCCGCUACGCCAGCCAGUUGCCGGU